rnacentral:lncRNA from 1 species
UUAGUUUUUCUUUCAAAAUGAAAAACCCUUUAUUCUGAACUCGGGGCAGGGUAGUUUCAGUUAAUUCGGCUAUGCAUUCAAAGUUCAAAGAGAAUCAUUAUGAACACCUAAGAGGUGUAACCAUAUGGUUUUCUUCACACAUCCAUAAGUGUCGAAGUAGUCAUGUAGAUUCCAAACGUAUUAUGGUUGUUCCUCAAUAACUAAUGA